GCGGGGGGGAGAACAAAUCUUUAAAAUGUCUAGCAAGUGGGUGUGGCCAGGAAACCUCUCAGAAAACGGACUGAGAAGAGUAAACGGGGAGGGGUGGGGAGAGAAAAAUGAGUGAGGGGCAACAGCAGGCUGUCAGUCUUGCCAGGGUGGGGAGCGACUAGUUUUGACAGACUGUAAUGGGACUUUGGGCUACUAGUUUGUAAGCAGUAAAGAAUGUCCUGGAAAGAAACGUAAAAUUCGUUUUAUAUUGUCUCUUGUUAAUUAAAACUUUUCAAGGUUGUUUAGGUUUUUUCCAGUAUGAAACAGGACCUUGGAAAAGUUUGGCUCGAAGGUGCGGAGGACGUGUGCGUCGUGUUUUGGGUGUGGGGGCGCAGGCAUCUUCAACAUUAAAAGACAAAAAGGUUCUCAACUGGAAAGAGAGGAAGAGGCGUAUUCUUUGGCUCUUAAAUCAUUUGGCCAAACACGUCGCAGUUCUGAAGUGGGUGGGGCCGUGGCAACCCUAAAGUAUUGAUUCUUUGUCUAUUGUAUCAGCGAAUGACCCUCUCCAGAAGUGACCAGGCGUCUCUUUGUGCUCUCUUUUCGUGACCAUGGAUGGUUUUUUUCUCCACAGUUCCGUGUCCAUGUAAAAAUGACUUGUAAUAAUAUAGCCAAGAAAAGACAGAAUUUUCGUUCCAAUUAAGGAGUGGGGCUGUUAUUAUUAAUGGCUUUAAUUAUCAUGACCCAAGCAAUGCAUUUGUUAGCACUGGAUCAUAAUCUGUUAUGUUAGGAAUUUUGUACUUAGUUUAAUUACACACUCUGUAUGUUUUAUUAAUUAAUUAAUAGGGCCCAGCAUUCAUUGUACUAGUUUCAAAAAACUGACAUACUUUUAAAUGAAUAUACAGGAAAUUUGGCAACCUUAAAUUUCUGUUUAUGUACACAGAAUGUAUUUUUACCUUCAAAGGCACAAGAGUUUUAUUGUUUUCAUUAUUAGAUUUGUGGUUAAGGACUGAAGGAUGUUUUUUGUGCUUUUUUGAAUGCUUUGUUUAAACAAGGAAAUGAAUGUAACUUAUUGCUCAUGUGUGUCCAUUUUGAAAAGCAACAGUGGGAGCUAAGGAGUUAAUCACUAAGGAGCACGCACAGUGCCGGCCAUUUCAAGACAUGCAUUUUGAUGGAGUUGCUUAAGAAGGAGUGAUUUGUAUUUAACAUCAAGUAUUUAAGGAUGUCAUUUAUUUAAAGUUCUUGAUUUGUGAUUUGAAGUUGAUGAUGAUAAAUGUAUUUAUAAAUAAGCUUGAGUAGCCAGCAAUGUAUGAGAACAUCCAGGAAUGUAUGUUUCAUCUAGAACAUUCUCAUGCUUUGUCCUUAAAAAUAACUAAUGGCGAGGUGUUUACUGUAAGAACGGAGGAAACUACUAGACAAGUCUAUUCCAUGCCUAUUAGUAUUCAGUAAAACCAACUGGGACUACCCAGAGGGUUUUUUUUUUUUUUUUUUUUUGAUUAUCAAAAG